rnacentral:lncRNA from 1 species
UCACCCCUUCUGCUUGGAAAUGUUGCUCUUCGUAUGAGUAACUUGCAGGUGAUCGAGUUUAAGUUGCUGUUAGAUUGCUGUCGUGAGUGGAUUAUCUCUCAUGUGUGUCUUUAGGUGCUCUGAUACGUAACGGGAUGGGAACUUUGUUGCAUGCUUUUCUAUUCCUUACGUAUUGCUUAUGAAUUUACAUGAUUAAGUUGUUAAUUGGAUUUUUAUGAGAUACUUUGAU